rnacentral:rRNA from 1 species
UCUUUAAUUGAUAUGAAGAGCUUGCUCUGAUUUGAUUCCAUCUGACAAAGAGUGGCGAACGGGUGAGUAACACGUGGGUAACCUACCUCUUAGCAGGGGAUAACAUUUGGAAACAAGUGCUAAUACCGUAUAAUACUAACAACCGCAUGGUUGUUAGUUGAAAGAUGGUUCUGCUAUCACUAAGAGAUGGACCCGCGGUGCAUUAGCUAGUUGGUAAGGUAAUGGCUUACCAAGGCGAUGAUGCGUAGCCGAGUUGAGAGACUGAUCGGCCACAAUGGGACUGAGACACGGCCCAUACUCCUACGGGAGGCAGCAGUAGGGAAUCUUCCACAAUGGGCGCAAGCCUGAUGGAGCAACGCCGCGUGUGUGAUGAAGGGUUUCGGCUCGUAAAACACUGUUAUAAGAGAAGAACGACAUUGAGAGUAACUGUUCAGUGUGUGACGGUAUCUUAUCAGAAAGGAACGGCUAAAUACGUGCCAGCAGCCGCGGUAAUACGUAUGUUCCAAGCGUUAUCCGGAUUUAUUGGGCGUAAAGCGAGCGCAGACGGUUAUUUAAGUCUGAAGUGAAAGCCCUCAGCUCAACUGAGGAAGGGCUUUGGAAACUGGAUAACUUGAGUGCAGUAGAGGAAAGUGGAACUCCAUGUGUAGCGGUGAAAUGCGUAGAUAUAUGGAAGAACACCGGUGGCGAAAGCGGCUUUCUGGACUGUAACUG